CAGCACCUCAAGUGGUCAGGAUGAUUAUUGGGCCUAAAGCAUCCGUAGCCGGCGCUGUAAGUUUUCGGUUAAAUCUGUACGCUUAACGUACAGGCUGCCGGGAAUACUGCAGCGCUAGGGAGUGGGAGAGGUAGACGGUACUCGGUAGGAAGGGGUAAAAUCCUUUGAUCUAUUGAUGACCACCUGUGGCGAAGGCGGUCUACCAGAACACGUCCGACGGUGAGGGAUGAAAGCUGGGGGAGCAAACCGGAUUAGAGACCCGAGUAGUCC
rnacentral:rRNA from 1 species